GACGAACGCUAGCGGCGUGCCUAAUACAUGCAAGUAGAACGCUGAAGCUUGGUGCUUGCACCGAGCGGAUGAGUUGCGAACGGGUGAGUAACGCGUAGGUAACCUACCUGGUAGCGGGGGAUAACUAUUGGAAACGAUAGCUAAUACCGCAUAAGAGUAGAUGUUGCAUGACAUUUGCUUAAAAGGUGCAAUUGCAUCACUACCAGAUGGACCUGCGUUGUAUUAGCUAGUUGGUGAGGUAACGGCUCACCAAGGCAACGAUACAUAGCCGACCUGAGAGGAUGAUCGGCCACACUGGGACUGAGACACGGCCCAGACUCCUACGGGAGGCAGCAGUAGGGAAUCUUCGGCAAUGGACGGAAGUCUGACCGAGCAACGCCGCGUGAGUGAAGAAGGUUUUCGGAUCGUAAAGCUCUGUUGUAAGAGAAGAACGAGUGUGAGAGUGGAAAGUUCACACUGUGACGGUAUCUUACCAGAAAGGGACGGCUAACUACGUG
rnacentral:rRNA from 1 species